rnacentral:rRNA from 1 species
AGUGAACGCUGGCGGUAGGCCUAACACAUGCAAGUCGAACGGCAGCACAGUAAGAGCUUGCUCUUACGGGUGGCGAGUGGCGGACGGGUGCGGAAUAUAUCGGAAUGUACUUUUUCGUGGGGGAUAACGUAGGGAAAUUUACGCUAAUACCGCAUACGAAAUACGGGUGAAAGCAGGGGAUCUUUGGACCUUGCGCGAUUGAAUGAGCCGAUGUCGGAUUAGCUAGUUGGCGGGGUAAAGGCCCACCAAGGCGACGAUCCGUAGCUGGUCUGAGAGGAUGAUCAGCCACACUGGAACUGAGACACGGUCCAGACUCCUACGGGAGGCAGCAGUGGGGAAUAUUGGACAAUGGGCGCAAGCCUGAUCCAGCCAUACCGCGUGGGUGAAGAAGGCCUUCGGGUUGUAAAGCCCUUUUGGUGGGAAAGAAAAGCAGCAGGUUAAUACCCCGCUGUUCUGACGGUACCCAAAGAAUAAGCACCGGCUAACUUCGUG